AUUGAAAUGUUUAACUGCAAAAUUGAAAUGAAAUUGUUGCUGACAGUUCUUAUUUAUCACUUGUAAUCGUUUGUGCAUACUAAGUAUUGCUUUUCUCUCUCUCUCCCAGCCCAGCUAUAAAAGAACACUGAUGUAGCUUCAAAAUCAAGACCUAACAAGACAAGAUACAGGGAUCAGGUUACAUCCAUGGCAACAGUGAAUCAAGCCCCAUGUACAAAUUUCUUGU
rnacentral:lncRNA from 1 species